rnacentral:rRNA from 1 species
GAUAAACGCUGGCGGCGUGCCUAACACAUGCAAGUCGAACGAUGAAGCUUAAAAGAUUUCUUCGGAAUGAACUUAAUUGGAUUAGUGGCGGACGGGUGAGUAACGCGUGAGUAACCUGCCUUGUACAAGGGGAUAGCCGUUGGAAACGACGAAUAAUACCCUAUGACAUCAAAUAAUCGCAUGAUAAUUUGAUCAAAGAUUUAUCGGUAUAAGAUGGACUCGCGUCUGAUUAGCUAGUUGGUAGAGUAAAAGCCUACCAAGGCAACGAUCAGUAGCCGGCUUGAGAGAGUGUACGGCCACAUUGGGACUGAGACACGGCCCAGACUCCUACGGGAGGCAGCAGUGGGGAAUUUUGCACAAUGGGGGAAACCCUGAUGCAGCGACGCCGCGUGAUUUAGAAGGCCUUCGGGUUGUAAAAAUCUUUUGUAUGGGAAGAAAAUGACAGUACCAUACGAAUAAGAACCGGCUAAUUACGUG